UACGUAGGUGACAAGCGUUGUCCGGAUUUACUGGGCGUAAAGAGCGCGCAGGCGGUCGUUCAAGUCGAGUGUGAAAGCCCCCGGCUCAACUGGGGAGGGUCACUCGAUACUGAUCGACUCGAAGGCAGGAGAGGGUAGUGGAAUUCCCGGUGUAGUGGUGAAAUUCGUAGAUAUUGGGAAGAACACCGGUGGCGAAGGCGGCUCACUGGCCCGUAACUGACGCUCAUGGCAACGACAGCGUGGGGAUCAAACAGG
rnacentral:rRNA from 1 species